ensembl:lincRNA
UGGAAAUUAGAUGAUCAGACUACAGUGGAUGGUUAAAAUGAACUCCAAGAAUUUAGAUAAAUAAGGCUGAAGAAUGUGGUCCACAGUGAAACUUAAUCCCCGAGGUGUUACUGUCUCUCCAUGCCUGCAUGUGGAUCUCACCAUUCCUCUAGUCCUGGUGCUUGCUUUCAACACAGAGCUCUGGACUGCAAGGCAUUUGAUUUCUGUGGCGAACGUCAAACUUCGAAGGGGCAAGACGAUAGCUGGCAAUGUUUAUUCUGCAUACUUCACAGUAUUCUUUCACAAUAUUUUAAUUUUUGCAUCUCAAAAUUCCAUUGACAAUCAUUGAACAACUUCCCUUUGCUUUUACAAAAGAAGAAAGUGCAAAGGUGUACAUAAAAAUCUCUGAUCAUUUUUAGCACUUCUGCCUGUAUGUAACUGGGAGCUUUGUGAGCCUGUGGUUUCUCUCCUCCUUGGUAAGCCUAUCCAUCAAUAGGUGCUGUGUAGUUCCAACAGUGAGGAUGUGAAAAGAGGGCAGUGACAAAUAUCCUGUGAAAAUAAAACUUUGUCUCCUG